rnacentral:rRNA from 4 species
AGUCAUAUGCUUGUCUCAAAGAUUAAGCCAUGCAUGUCUCAGUACAAGCCAAAUUAAGGUGAAACCGCGAAAGGCUCAUUAAAUCAGUUAUGGUUCCUUAGAUCGUACACACAUUUACUUGGAUAACUGUGGUAAUUCUAGAGCUAAUACAUGCCAACAGAACUCCGACCGGAGACGGAAGGAGUGCCUUUAUUAGAUCAAAACCAAUCGGUGGCGCGGCUUCGGUCGUGUCAUCGUACAACAUGGUGAAUCUGAAUAACGUUUGCUGAUCGCACGGUCUCGCACCGGCGACGCAUCUUUCAAAUGUCUGCCUUAUCAACUGUCGAUGGUAGGUUCUGCGCCUACCAUGGUUGUAACGGGUAACGGGGAAUCAGGGUUCGAUUCCGGAGAGGGAGCCUGAGAAACGGCUACCACAUCCAAGGAAGGCAGCAGGCGCGCAAAUUACCCACUCCCGGCACGGGGAGGUAGUGACGAAAAAUAACGAUACGGGACUCAUCCGAGGCCCCGUAAUCGGAAUGAGCACACUUUAAAUCCUUUCACGAGGAUCAAUCGGAGGGCAAGUCAGGUGCCAGCAGCCGCGGUAAUUCCUGCUCCGAUAGCGUAU